CCUACGGGUGGCAGCAGUGGGGAAUAUUGGACAAUGGGGGGAACCCUGAUCCAGCGACGCCGCGUGAGUGAAGAAGUAUUUCGGUAUGUAAAGCUCUAUCAGCAGGGAAGAAAAUGACGGUACCUGACUAAGAAGCCGCGGCUAAAUACGUGCCAGCAGCCGCGGGAAUACGUAGGGGGCAAGCGUUAUCCGGAUUUACUGGGGGGAAAGGGAGCGUAGACGGUGCAGCAAGGCUGAUGUGAAAGGUCGGGGCCCAAACCCGGGACUGCAUUGGAAACUGUAAUUCUAGAGUGUGGGAGAGGUAUGUGGAAUUCUUGGUGUAGCGGUGAAAUGCGUAGAGAUCAAGAGGAAUACCGAUUGCGAAGGCGACAUGCUAGAGCGUAACUGACGCUGAUGCGCGAAAGCGUGGGGAGCAAACAGGAUUAGAUACCCCAGUAGUC
rnacentral:rRNA from 1 species